rnacentral:pre_miRNA from 1 species
AGUGGGAUAGUUGGGUCAAAUGUCGAUUCCAUUCCAACUUUUUAAAGGAAUCUCCAUACUGUUUUCCAAGGUGGUUGCACCAAUUUUCAAUGCCACCAGCAAU